GGCCUUAUGGUCUAGUCGUAUGAUUCUCCCUUUGGGGCUUGCCUGAGGAUUGGGAGAGGUCUCGGGUUCAAUUCCCGAUGAGGCCC